UACGUAUGUCUCAAGCGUUACCCGGAAUCACUGGGUGUAAAGGGUUCGUAGGCGGAAAUCUAAGUCAGGUAUGAAAGACCGGAGCUCAACUCCGAGUUUGUGCUUGAAACUGGAUAUCUAGAAUCAGGGAGAGGUAAGCGGAAUUCUAAGUGUAGGGGUGCAAUCCGUAGAUACUUAGAGGAACACCAAAAGCGAAGGCAGCUUACUGGAACUGAAUUGACGCUGAUGAACGAAAGCGUGGGUAGCGAAAAGG
rnacentral:misc_RNA from 1 species